UCUGUAGAAGAUAAAAUCGAGAUAAAGGUCGAAAGGUCCGUGGAUUUGUUCAAUUGUCAUUAAUAAAUGCAAAAAUUUGUAAUGUAAUGUCAUCUCGUGUUUCAUUAGAAUCCAUUGCAUGCAUUGAAUCCAUAGAAUCCAUAGAAUGCAUUGUAUUUUCUUGUAAAAGUGGUGAAGAAAGUUUUGACUCUAGUGUUCUUAAAUGUCGUGAAAAAAUUCAUCCAAUAUGCCUGUCACUGCACACUGUCAGAAUACACAGGCAGCCUUAAAAUGUUAUGCAGAAGCAUGACUUUACAGCUAUUCAAUUCUAUCAUUUUUAAAUGUAAGUAAUGAAACGGAACAAGAAAUUUGAUUGGAUUAGAUAUAGGAAUACUUUUGGUCCUUCGGUAAAACAUAAUAUCUGAAAAUAUAAUGGCAAUAAAAUACUAAGCUUGGAUUAAAUGUCCAUCAGGUUAAAAUAUUCAUUUUUCUUUUUUCAUUAGAAAAUUAAAACAAACAGAAUCAAACAUUGUUAUUUUUGUUAUUCUUCUAUGAUUAUAAUCUUUAUAAUUUAAUAUUUAAUUACAAACAUAUUUGCGUACAUUUUUAUGCUUUUUAUGUUUCAUUUGUGCAUUUUCCAAAUAAGAUACAAGAAGAAGAAUUUAGUUGUGAAUAUUAAUUUAGAUGAAAAUGAUUUAAGUAUAUGAAAAGAACAUUAAUAUCAAUGUAUCAUGUAACAAGAUGAACGAGAUAAAAUAAAUCAAAUGAAUUUUAAUUAAUAAAUAAUGAAGAAAAACUUUUCAUUUAAUGUAAUCAUAAAUUGCCCAUGACCAAUUAUUUUAUCUUUUAGAUUAUUUGAAUUAACAAGAACAUUAAUAUUUUUU